rnacentral:lncRNA from 1 species
GGAUUAAAGGCGUGUGCCACCAUGCCCGGCUACAAGUCUACUUUUAAGGGGGAAAAAAACCAAUGAAUUUGUUGACUUUGAUAGAUUCUGACUGAGUUCAUUUUCCAUUGAACUACAGUGAUUUUACUUGAUGUCUGCCCUGCACUAGUCAUGCUUUUAGUGUAGAGGAUGAGAAUGCUCUAGUGUGGCAAAAUCCAUUUCUACAGUUGUGAACUUAGAGCUAGAAACACCUGUAAAAUAAAAUUCUGUGCUUUAGAAUCUCUAAGUUACUGAAAUUUUACAAUAUUUACCAGAAAAUCAGCCCAGAAAAAGCAUUUUCUCUUGAAAACUAGAACAAGAGAGACUAUUAAAAUGCUAAAAAGUUAAUCCUAAUUCUGAAGGUCUAUCUUAGGUGAGGGUUCACGGAAGACUGGAGAUGUAGGUGACAUGAUAAUGCUCCAUUGCUUUGUCACUAGAAGGACACCCCUAAGGUCUUGCACAUCCUUCCCAAUUCAGCUGUCCGGAUGGUUACUUGGGAACAGCUUCUUUGUGGUUCCAAUUCAAACUGCAUUCACUGCUGCCUGUGGAGAGGAGACAUCUUGAAAGCCCCAGGUAAACUUAGUCUAUGCUUAGAAGUUACACAAUGCAGAAACUUAAAUACUAGACAACCAUUAAUGCACAGAAUAUUCAAAAGAUGUUCAAAGUGGCACUUUAUCAACCAAAAAGGCAUUAAGUUGAACAAAAUGCCAAGUUGGCAUCUAGAUUAUAAUUUCAAGAAGACACAUGACAGGCUUAUGUAUAAUGCCAGCACUUAGAGUCUGAAGCGGGAUUGUGAUUGUGAGGGCUGUCUCAGCAAACAAACAAACAAACAAACAAUCAAAAAACAAUUACCCAGUACUAAACUUUGUUACAUCAUGGAGAAAAAAAUUAGCUGAGUACAAAAAUACCUGCAUAUGUAAGCAAGAGCCAAUCACUCUUCAGAAGAGCCAGAAAAAGAAUGUGAUACUAAUAAAUGAUUCUUUUUCAACUCAGUUUAUUGUCUGUACUUUCUAUGGAAGUGAUUUAUUUAUAUUUUUAUAUAUAUAUAUAUAAAAUAAAAAUACAUCCAUUGC